rnacentral:rRNA from 1 species
UACGUAGGGUGCGAGCGUUUGUCCGGAAUUACUGGGCGUAAAGAGCUCGUAGGUGGUUUGUCGCGUUGUCCGUGAAAACUCACAACUCAAUUGUGGGCGUGCGGGCGAUACGGGCAGACUGGAGUACUGCAGGGGAGACUGGAAUUCCUGGUGUAGCGGUGAAAUGCGCAGAUAUCAGGAGGAACACCAGUGGCGAAGGCGAGUCCCUGGACAACACAUCGAUGCACUGAGGCACGAAAGCUAGGGGAGCAAACAGG